GGAGGCAGCUGGGGGCUUGCUUGCUGGCCUGUUCUCCCUCCUCUCUCAACCCUUGGGCAGGGCUGGGCACAGCCAUUGGAGGCGGUGCCAUCACUUCCCCUGUGACAUGUCUUUUUGUUAAACUAUGCAGGUUGGAGGGAAGAAGGGGGAAGGGUGAUGGUGAAAUAAGUAUGGGUUGGGAUGCUUGUGCAUGUUAUCUCCUUCAAUUUUCCCAGGAACGAGUUAUCUUUGUUUCUCAGUCCAAAAUCCUGAGGGUGGGGAGAGGAGAGAGGCUGCAAAAAGCCAGGUACGGAGGGAAGUCAAGUCACCGCUGCCCCAUCCUUAGCCCUGAACCCCUCCAACAGCAUCAGGAUUUCACAGACUCUCACCAUGGGGAACCCCUCCCGUCAAAGAUCCGGCAAGACUGUGGGCCGUUGGGACUGAUGGGUGAGGGGCGGGAGGCACAGGCAUGGGUUUGGGCAGGUCUCACUUGUAAACUUACAGUUUCACA